rnacentral:rRNA from 1 species
ACGGGAGGCAGCAGUGGGGGAUAUUGCACAAUGGGCGAAAGCCUGAUGCAGCGACGCCGCGUGAGCGAAGAAGUAUUUCGGUAUGUAAAGCUCUAUCAGCAGGGAAGAUAAUGACGGUACCUGACUGAGAAGCACCGGCUAAAUACGUGCCAGCAGCCGCGGUAAUACGUAUGGUGCAAGCGUUAUCCGGAUUUACUGGGUGUAAAGGGAGCGUAGGCGGUUUUACAAGUCUGAUGUGAAGGCCCGGGGCUCAACUCCGGUACUGCAUUGGAAACUGUAGAACUAGAGUGUCGGAGGGGUAAGUGGAAUUCCUAGUGUAGCGGUGAAAUGCGUAGAUAUUAGGAGGAACACCAGUGGCGAAGGCGGCUUACUGGACGAUUACUGACGCUGAGGCUCGAAAGCGUGGGGAGCAAACAGGAUUAGAUACCCUGGUA